UACGUAGGGUCCGAGCGUUGUCCGGAAUUACUGGGCGUAAAGAGCUCGUAGGUGGUUUGUCACGUUGUUCGUGAAAACCCACAGCUCAACUGUGGGCGUGCGAGCGAUACGGGCAGACUAGAGUACUGCAGGGGAGACUGGAAUUCCUGGUGUAGCGGUGGAAUGCGCAGAUAUCAGGAGGAACACCGGUGGCGAAGGCGGAUCUCUGGGCCAUUACUGACGCUGAGGAGCGAAAGCGUGGGGAGCGAACAGG
rnacentral:rRNA from 1 species